rnacentral:rRNA from 1 species
GAUCCUGCUCAGGAUGAACGCUAGCGACAGGCCUAACACAUGCAAGUCGAGGGGCAGCGGGGAGGUAGCAAUACCUUUGCCGGCGACCGGCGCACGGGUGAGUAACACGUAUGCAAUCCACCUGUAACAGGGGGAUAACCCGGAGAAAUCCGGACUAAUACCCCAUAAUAUGGGCGCUCCGCAUGGAGAGCCCAUUAAAGAGAGCAAUUUUGGUUACAGACGAGCAUGCGCUCCAUUAG